rnacentral:rRNA from 1 species
UACAGAGGUCUCAAGCGUUGUUCGGAUUUAUUGGGCGUAAGGGUGUGUAGGUGGCGCCGUAAGUCGGGUGUGAAAUUUCGGAGCUUAACUCCGAAACUGCAUUCGAUACUGCGGUGCUUGAGGACUGGAGAGGAGACUGGAAUUCACGGUGUAGCAGUGAAAUGCGUAGAUAUCGUGAGGAAGACCAGUGGCGAAGGCGGAUCUCUGGAGAGUUCCUGACGCUGAGGCACGAAGGCCAGGGGAGCAAACGGG